CCCAGCUGUGGGUAGCAACUGGGUUGCCUUGUACCUAGGCAAGUAUCACACUGCUGGGAGAAAAGCAGCCAAUAGCUGGUGGACAUC
rnacentral:snoRNA from 1 species